UAGCCCAGUGGUUAAGGCUAUGGAUCGCCAAUCCGGAGACGGCGGGUUCGAUUCCCGU
rfam:Aedes albopictus isolate Foshan contig24182, whole genome shotgun sequence.